rnacentral:lncRNA from 1 species
AUGACAACCGAAGCUGUCUUCAAAUCAUGGAUCGAGCUUAUCAGCCCGGGUAUAAUGAAUUCGAGGAUGCUGAAUUGUCACAACAUAACCAACCAAUGCAUUAGCAAAUGAACUUUCAAAACAGACAAUCAGCGACUCAAAACCGUUAUGCUAGAUAUAAUGCAGAUGAAAUGAAUGGGUAUUAUGACCAGUUUUGAUUUGAUGGGUAUAAUGAUUUUGCGCCUCCACCGUAACAGUUUAUUCAAAGGGGUCAGAAUCGGGUCAGCAACGGUUUAAUAAUGCUCAACAAAAUAGUUAUGGAAGAUCGAGUGGUCCAGUUGAAGGUUCGGAUGGUGAGAUUAUAGAACUGUUGAAAGAAAUGAAGAAUGGAUUCUACAAACAUUCGAGCUAUCAAGGAGAUCAAGAUAACUAUGAAAGCAACUGGCAGACUUAAGAGAAUGAGCAAACGGGUCAGCAUGAUUCAAAUGAUAACUCCAUCAAUGAAAAAUUUGACACGAUCAUGGAGUUUUUGAAGGGUAUUCAGAAAAGCAACGAGGUUAGAGAUAGGGAGGUUAAGGCAUUGUCACAGCAUGUUGGACAAUUAGCUGAAGAAGUGGUUAUUAUCAAAAGGAAUCAAGAUAAGCUUCUUAGUGAUUUUCAGGAAAAUCCAGCUCAUAAUUCUUCUCACACGAGUGUCCACAUAGAUGAGGUAAGUUGUUAGUGCAUUUAUGUCUAUCGCCUCCGUGAAGACAGACCGUAGCGAGAAACUGAUCUAACUAGCCUUAUAUUGUAAUAUUUAGAUAAGAAAGGCAAGGUGGCAUUAUU